GGACAAUACUCCCAGGGCCUUGUAAAGGAUGUGGAUGGUCAUUUUGGGAUUCCCCCAGAGCUGCCCCUGGAGGUGAAGCCAAAACUUGCCUCCAUCUUGGUUUAAUUGUGACCUCUGAGAGGAGGAGUCCAUUUGGCAACCUUGUGGAGAGUUGGAAGACUCACCGACCCAGCAGCCGUUUUCAGAGAGCUCUUUCAAGAAGGAAAAAGAGACCCAGAAAGAUCAGCACAAGAUUGUAUAAGUAGAACAAUGACAGAACUUGAGAUGCAAAACCCAGUGUCUGAGAUCCCAGUGCCUCCAGGAUAUAUUACCCCCGUAUGCACGUAUGGAGGAUGGAAUAUGAUC
rnacentral:lncRNA from 1 species